rnacentral:rRNA from 1 species
GACGAACGCUGGCGGCGUGCUUAACACAUGCAAGUCGAACGGAAAGGCCCUGCUUUUGUGGGGUGCUCGAGUGGCGACCGGGUGAGUAACACGUGAGUACCCUGCCCUUGCCUUUGGGAUAACUUCAGGAAACUGGGGCUAAUACCGGCUAGGAGCUCCUGCUGCAUGGUGGGGGUUGGAAAGUUUAGGCGGUUGGGGAUGGACUCGCGGCUUAUCAGUUUGUUGGUAGGGUAGUAGCUUACCAAGGCUUUGAUGCGUGGCUGGCCUGAGAGGGUGACCCGCCGCGCUGGGACUGAGACACGGACUAGAAUCGUACGCAGCGGAGCAGUAGGGAGUAUUAGAGGAUGAGCGAUAGUGCGAUACAGCCGUGCGGCGUAAGUGAGGAAGGCCUUAGUGUUGUAAAGCUGUUUUAGACGGGGUGAUAAUGACAGUAACGGGAGAAUAAGCACCGGCUAACUACGUG